AGAGUCUGAUCAUGGCUCAGAUUGAACGCUGGCGGCAGGCCUAACACAUGCAAGUCGAGCGAGAAAGCACUUCGGUGUGAGUAGAGCGGCGGACGGGUGAGUAACGCGUAGGAAUUUGCCCAGUAGUGGGGGACAACAUGUGGAAACGCAUGCUAAUACCGCAUACGCCCUAUGGGGGAAAGCAGGGGAUCUUCGGACCUCUCGCUUCUUGAUUAGCCCAAGUGAGAUUAGCUAGUAGGUGAGGUAAAGGCUCACCUAGGCGACGAUCUCUAGCUGGUUUGAGAGGAUGAUCAGCCACACUGGGACUGAGACACGGCCCAGACUCCUACGGGAGGCAGCAGUGGGGAAUAUUGCACAAUGGGCGAAAGCCUGAUGCAGCAAUGCCGCGUGUGUGAAGAAGGCCUGAGGGUUGUAAAGCACUUUCAGUAGGGAGGAAAAGUUGAUGGUUAAUAACCAUUGACCGUGACGUUACCUACAGAAGAAGCACCGGCUAACUCCGUGCCAGCAGCCGCGGUAAUACGGAGGGUGCAAGCGUUAAUCGGAAUUACUGGGCGUAAAGCGCGCGUAGGCGGUUUGCUAAGCCAGAUGUGAAAGCCCCGGGCUCAACCUGGGAACUGCAUUUGGAACUGGCAGGCUAGAGUACGGUAGAGGGUGGUAGAAUUUCCUGUGUAGCGGUGAAAUGCGUAGAUAUAGGAAGGAAUACCAGUGGCGAAGGCGGCCACCUGGACUGAUCCUGACGCUGAGGUGCGAAAGCGUGGGUAGCAAACGGGAUUAGAUACCCCGGUAGUCCACGCCGUAAACGAUGUCUACUAGCCGUUGGGAGACUUGAUCUCUUAGUGGCGCAGCUAACGCAAUAAGUAGACCGCCUGGGGGAGUCCGGCCGCAAGGGUAAAACUCAAAUGAAUUGACGGGGGCCCGCACAAGCGGUGGAGCAUGUGGUUUAAUUCGAUACAACGCGAAGAACCUUACCAAGACUUGACAUCCUGAGAACUUACUAGAAAUAGUUCGGUGCCUUCGGGAACUCAGAGACAGGUGCUGCAUGGCUGUCGUCAGCUCGUGUUGUGAAAUGUUGGGUUAAGUCCCGUAACGAGCGCAACCCUUGUCCUUAGUUGCCAGCGCGUAAUGGCGGGAACUCUAAGGAGACUGCCGGUGACAAACCGGAGGAAGGUGGGGACGACGUCAAGUCAUCAUGGCCCUUACGACCUGGGCUACACACGUGCUACAAUGGCCGGUACAGAGGGCUGCAAACCCGCGAGGGGGAGCUAAUCCCACAAAACCGGUCGUAGUCCGGAUUGGAGUCUGCAACUCGACUCCAUGAAGUCGGAAUCGCUAGUAAUCGUGAAUCAGAAUGUCACGGUGAAUACGUUCCCGGGCCUUGUACACACCGACAGUCACACCAUGGGAGUUGGCCAUGCCCGAAGUCGUUACUCCAACCCUUGUGGAGGAGGACGCCGAAGGUGGGGCUAAUGACUGGGGUGAAGUCAUAACAAGGUAACCGUA
rnacentral:rRNA from 1 species